rnacentral:rRNA from 1 species
GCUGACGAGUGGCGAACGGGUGAGUAAUGCAUCGGAACGUGCCCAGUAGUGGGGGAUAGCCCGGCGAAAGCCGGAUUAAUACCGCAUACGACCUACGGGUGAAAGCGGGGGACCGCAAGGCCUCGCGCUAUUGGAGCGGCCGAUGUCAGAUUAGGUAGUUGGUGGGGUAAAGGCCUACCAAGCCUGCGAUCUGUAGCUGGUCUGAGAGGACGACCAGCCACACUGGGACUGAGACACGGCCCAGACUCCUACGGGAGGCAGCAGUGGGGAAUUUUGGACAAUGGGCGCAAGCCUGAUCCAGCCAUGCCGCGUGCGGGAAGAAGGCCUUCGGGUUGUAAACCGCUUUUGUCAGGGAAGAAAUCUUCUGGGUUAAUACCUCGGGAGGAUGACGGUACCUGAAGAAUAAGCACCGGCUAACUACGUGCCAGCAGCCGCGGUAAUACGUAGGGUGCAAGCGUUAAUCGGAAUUACUGGGCGUAAAGCGUGCGCAGGCGGUUAUGUAAGACAGAUGUGAAAUCCCCGGGCUUAACCUGGGAACUGCAUUUGUGACUGCAUAGCUUGAGUGCGGCAGAGGGGGAUGGAAUUCCGCGUGUAGCAGUGAAAUGCGUAGAUAUGCGGAGGAACACCGAUGGCGAAGGCAAUCCCCUGGGCCUGCACUGACGCUCAUGCACGAAAGCGUGGGGAGCAACAGGAUUAGAUACCCUGGUAGUCCACGCCCUAAACGAUGUCAACUGGUUGUUGGGAGGGUUUCUUCUCAGUAACGUAGCUAACGCGUGAAGUUGACCGCCUGGGGA